ACACACACACACACACACAUAUAUAUGAAUGAAUAGGUAGUUGGCGCAUAGCUCUUCUGGUGGCAAUGGCUUAGUUUUUAAAAGGGCAAAACUAGGCAUAAUAGAGAAGGUAAUUGCAAAGGUGGAUCACUAUCAAAGGACUUUCCUAGGUGUCCUGAUGUUCCUGAUGGGAGUCGUUGGUACAGAACAGCUCAUUGCUCAGUUACAGGGUUGAUGUCGCCUUCUCUUGCACUGGAACACUGGCUUUAUUAAUAUAUGUUAGGGCUUUUGUUACCAGGCUUCUGUAUAUUCUGUUACUAAACCUGUCAGUUUCUCAAAAGCUAGGGUUUGUGUUUUUGUUUUGUUCUUGUUGGGGGUGGGGAAGGCCUGUGCUGCAUCUAGCAUGGCUCCACGGCCAGACUUUAGCAUCAAGGGAAUAAAGAAAAGUCAAACAUACAGAUGCAUGUACAGAAAGAAGGGAUGGCAUUGGGUGGUCCAGGCUCCCUGACAAAGCUGGGGUGCUCUGUAAACACAGUAUGUUUUUCAUGGGCAGUUAAACAGAGAGACAGUUAUUACUAUAGAGCCAAAUAGCUGAUCUCAGUAUGGUCAGUCUUGGUAGGAGGGCAGUCCUUCAGGUUGUGAAUAUGGGGCAGGGAAGCUAUGGUGGACGUUUUCUGCAUACACUAUCAACAUCCACACGGGGACCAGAGGAAGGUUUUCCAUUCCUCUGAGGCUCAACCGGAGGUAGCUGGGGGAGGCUUUGUCACUUUCCCAUGGUUCUGAGGUCAUUGUCUUUGAUAUGACCAGCUCAUGCCAACCACACACACCCCCUGAGCCAUCCCACCUGCCCAACUUUAAAUUAACUUGGUGGGUAUAUACUUGUUCUAUUGCUUUAUAGCAUAUCUGGGUGCCGAUUUAAUGCUUUUGUUUAGAGAUUUAUUUGAUAAUUUUGGUCUUACAAUAUGGGAAAUUUUAUACAUAUAUAUUUAGUAUUCUACACAUAGAGAGAUACGUUUCUAACUGUAUGACAAUUACAUACACAUUGGAUUUAAGCAAGGGUGGUCAGCUUUUAAUGACUCGUACAAGACGUAGCAGCAUGCUUUAAGAUGUGUAAGGCUCCUCAGCUGGGGACAUAAGUAAUGUGCUCUUGUGCCCGUGUUGGUUUGUCUUUAACUCAGUUUCUUCAUUCUCAGGGAACUUAACUGAGCCCAAAGAUGGCUCGAAACUUGACUCUGAGCUGCCUGCCCUAUUUUCCUCUGGGAUAUGCAAGUCAGGGGUGUCAGGAGGGUUGGCCUGGUUGAUGGUGGCUCAUCUUUCAUCUGUCAGGCUGAGGAUCAUCCCUGAUCAUUGUUGCCCUGUCCACUGAAUCUCUUAGGAUCCAGGGGAGAACAAAUGAGCCCUAUUACACAAACAGGCACUUCACUGAUGUGGCUCAACCUGGCCACUUUGUCCUCAUCACUUGGCUGUGUAUUGGGCAUCUUAGAAAUCUCAAGGCCGUUGCUGAGAUGUGUGGACGGUUCAAAAAUCCAGCUUAAAGGACAGACAGAGACUGAAGCUCCAUUUAUUGAGCUGUUGGCAUUUUGGAACAGGACUCCCAGCUGCCUUUGAAUGGGGGGACCGAGGAUUUGUAUGUAGUUUUCUUUGUCUCACUUUGAAGUAGUUUCCCCCUUCAUCUCUUCCUAAGCUCCCCCUUUCUGAUUAAGCUGGGGAUACACUCUGAAGCGGACUGCUGUUAAUCUUCCUCUGCCUUGAAUCUUUAAAUGGGAAAAAUGCUGAGACUAACACAGCUUUGUCAUUCACUGUGAUCUCGGAGGAGAAACGAGAUACUGAUGCUGUGAAGGGCCUUGAACGUAGAGUCUGGAGGAUUGCUCUUAAGUCUUAAUUUUCACGUGGCACUUACGAUGUUGGCAUUGAGUCCACGUCAGCGAAGGAAGUCUGUGUCUGAAUGACAUUGCCAGAGUGAACCAUGGCCUGUAAAAUAGUAGAAUCACAUAAGCACUGGAAAAGUUAAUCUUCAACACACUUCUGUGCAAAUCAGGAGACUUCAAUGUAAUAAGAUAGAACAAGUCCUUUUAAAGUCUAUGAAUUUAUUUGUUUUCUUAUUCUAGGCUGUGUUCUGUGGCUGUGACAAAUACCAAGACCAAAGGCAACUUGGAGGGGGAAUAAUGGGUUUAUUUCCAUUUAUAGGCCCAUUGUCAAGAGAAGUCAGGAUGGAAACCAUG
rnacentral:lncRNA from 1 species